CCUACGGGUGACAGCAGUAGGGAAUUUUCGUCAAUGGGCGCAAGCCUGAACGAGCAAUGCCGCGUGAACGAGGAAGGUCUUCGGAUCGUAAAGUUCUGUUGAAGGGGAAAAAGAGCGGAGAGAGGAAAUGGUCUCCGAUUGAUAUUACCCUUCGAGGAAGUCACGGCUCACUACGUGCCAGCAGCCGCGGUAAUACGUAGGUGGCGAGCGUUAUCCGGAAUGAUUGGGCGAAAAGGUUGCGUAGGCGGCCUGCUAAGUCUGGAGUGAAAGGUACCGGCUCAACCGGUACAGGCUCUGGAAACUGGUGGGCUAGAGAGCAGGAGAGGGCGGUGGAACUCCAUGUGUAGCGGUAAAAUGCGUAGAUAUAUGGAAGAACACCAGUGGCGAAGGCGGCCGCCUGGCCUGUUACUGACGCUGAGGCACGAAAGCGUGGGGAGCAAAUAGGAUUAGAUACCCCUGUAGUC
rnacentral:rRNA from 1 species